rnacentral:lncRNA from 1 species
GUGAAACUCCAUCUCAAAAAAAAAGAAAAAAAAAAAAAAGAGUCUGCAGUAUCAAAGAGCCACAUACUUCAGCUUGCGGUGGCGGACAAGGUAUAGCUGUUCUUAUUUGCUGAAAGAGAAAAGACCACAGAAUUGAAUACCAGUGAUUUCCCGUUUUCUUAACUCUACUGAAAAGUCAUAAAACUGCAUUAGCAAUAAUUACAACUACAGUUGACCCUUGAACAACAUGGGAUUAAACUGUGUGGGUCCACUUACAUGCAGAUUUUCUUCCACUUCUGCCACCCUGAGGCAGCAAGUCAGCUCCUCUGCUCCCUCCUUCUCCUCAGCCUACUCUCCACAAAGAUGAUAAAGAAGACCUUUAUAUGAUCCACUUCCACUUAAUUAAUACUGCUCCAUGAAGCCAGAAUUUGGACAUAUGGAAGGUCUUGCAUUUUUCACCAAAGAAAAAGCACUGGUAAAUGAGGUUUGUUCAGAAUUCAUCAGGAAACCUAUUACAAUUGCAGCAGCCCUGGAAACGCCUGCAUUACAAUGAACAAGAACCACUCCAUCCUACAAAAAAAAAAACAAACAAAAAUCUUCAUUAUUCAUUUGAGAAAGGUUAUUAUAUCAAUUGCACAUUCUUAUACUACUUGAAAGUAUAAAGUAAAUAUUCAGUUUUAUUGAUUUAUUUGAUUCAAUUUAUUUGAUUAUUG